GUGAUUAAAUAAUAUUAGCAUAAAUGUGACAACAAGGCCAUAUGCUCACCUACUGAAGGCGAACUGUGUAAUUUCUGUUGUUCUUUGCAAUCCAAACAAAGACGAUUACCGUGGAUUAACGUGCUUGGAACAGCUGGCUGAAAAAUCUUAAUCAAAAUGGUGAAAGACAUUUGCAAAGAAUGCAGGAAUGGUGUUCACGCGUGUGGCAGUGAACCAAAACAGAACGAACAGUACCGACCACCGCCCCCGUGUCACCAUGGUCACAACAGAGAAGACACAGUGGCCGCCCCUAACACCGACAAAAAAGUCAACACAUGGGGCUCAUUCAAAAACAAAGACAAUUUUUUGGAGCUCCAUUUUCGCUGAAGGAUUUUGAAUAUUGAAUGAACUUUUUACUUAUGGAAAUGUAACGGAAGAUUUUUUUUAAAAGAGAAGCAUCAGAGUAGAUGUAUAUGUAUAUAUUUAGAGUAAAAUUACGGGUUUAUUUGUUUAAAUUGCAAUGCAAAUAUAAAUAUUUAGUACACUUUUUUUGUACAAUGUGUUUGUGUGUGUGUUUGUGUGUGUGUGUGUGUGUGUGUGUGUGUGUGCUCGGGCGUAAAUUUUUAUAGUAGAGUUUUAAGUGGGUUUUGAAAUGCUUGAUCUGAUUUAAGAAUAUCCAAAGUGUUCAUUUUAUAUUAACAAGUAUUUGCUGAAACAAUGUACGGUAUAAUCUAUUUGCAUAAAAAAUUUAAUUUACAUUUUGUUUUAUUUGAAAUUUUGUUUCGUGUUAUGCGAUGAGUUAGUGUCGGAUUUUCCCUUACUUUUAUCUCGGAAUCUUACUACAAAAUACACACACAAAAAUAUUUUUUCAUCAUUAUGCAAGAUAUAUUUUCUGACAUUUGUAAAUUAUCUUGAUGAUUGAUAUAAAACCAUUUUAGGCUAUAAUUUUAAUGUGACUUACAUGUUUCAUGUAUUUAUAUAAUAGCUACUAAGAUAAAUUAAUUUUUUUUCACGCUUUUCAAAACCAAAGCAUGUGCGGAUCCCCCUUGAAUUUGCACCAUCACCACCACGAAAUAGGUGUUUGUCACCUUUGGGAAAUGGAUGCUUUUUUUUUUUUGCUUGUCAAGAAAUUAUUUUCUUGGUUUAAUACGUUUGGGUUUUAGUUUUUUUUCUUUGGUUGGAAUUUUUUUUUUUUACUGGGGUGGAACCCCCUGGAAAAAAAAAAUCCUGGAUCCGCACCUGCAAUGUACUAAUUUAGAUAUUUGUGAUUUCAUAAUUUUAACAGGAAUUAAAAGUUUCAUCCUCUUUA